UCGCACCUACCGAUUGGAUGGUCCGGUGAGGCCUCGGGACUGCGGCCUGGUGCCUUAAUUGGUACUUGGCUGCGGGAACUUGUCCAAACCUUAUCAUCUAGAGGAAGGUG
rnacentral:rRNA from 1 species